rnacentral:misc_RNA from 1 species
AUGAAUUGUUAGGACGCUCUUUUUAGAGGUCCGACCCCUUCAUUUCCUUACACUGUGCACACACUUCUUUUUCACACAUUUUUAACACAUCAGUCUAAAGAAUGUAAACAGUCUCUUAAUUGAGCAUAAAAUAGAUA